AUAACGACUCUCGGCAACGGAUAUCUCGGCUCUCGCAUCGAUGAAGAACGUAGCGAAAUGCGAUACUUGGUGUGAAUUGCAGAAUCCCGUGAACCAUCGAGUCUUUGAACGCAAGUUGCGCCCAAAGCCAUUAGGCUGAGGGCACGCCUGCCUGGGCGUCUCGCA
rnacentral:rRNA from 1 species